rnacentral:rRNA from 1 species
CGGUGAAGCAGAGCUUGCUCUGUGGAUCAGUGGCGAACGGGUGAGUAACACGUGAGCAACCUGCCCCGGACUCUGGGAUAAGCGCUGGAAACGGUGUCUAAUACCGGAUACGAGACAAGACGGCAUCGUCAUUGUCUGGAAAGAUUUUUUGGUCUGGGAUGGGCUCGCGGCCUAUCAGCUUGUUGGUGAGGUAAUGGCUCACCAAGGCGUCGACGGGUAGCCGGCCUGAGAGGGUGACCGGCCACACUGGGACUGAGACACGGCCCAGACUCCUACGGGAGGCAGCAGUGGGGAAUAUUGCACAAUGGGCGAAAGCCUGAUGCAGCAACGCCGCGUGAGGGAUGACGGCCUUCGGGUUGUAAACCUCUUUUAGCAGGGAAGAAGCGAGAGUGACGGUACCUGCAGAAAAAGCGCCGGCUAACUACGUGCCAGCAGCCGCGGUAAUACGUAGGGCGCAAGCGUUAUCCGGAAUUAUUGGGCGUAAAGAGCUCGUAGGCGGUUUGUCGCGUCUGCUGUGAAAUCCCGAGGCUCAACCUCGGGCCUGCAGUGGGUACGGGCAGACUAGAGUGCGGUAGGGGAGAUUGGAAUUCCUGGUGUAGCGGUGGAAUGCGCAGAUAUCAGGAGGAACACCGAUGGCGAAGGCAGAUCUCUGGGCCGUAACUGACGCUGAGGAGCGAAAGGGUGGGGGAGCAAACAGGCUUAGAUACCCUGGUAGUCCACCCCGUAAACGUUGGGAACUAGUUGUGGGGUCCAUUCCACGGAUUCCGUGACGCAGCUAACGCAUUAAGUUCCCCGCC